GACGAACGCUGGCGGCGUGCUUAACACAUGCAAGUCGAACGGUGAAGGUGGAGCUUGCUCCGCCGGAUCAGUGGCGAACGGGUGAGUAACACGUGGGCAACCUGCCCCUCACUUCGGGAUAACUCCGGGAAACCGGGGCUAAUACCGGAUACGACCUCCUUGGGCAUCCUUGGAGGUGGAAAGUUUUUCGGUGAGGGAUGGGCCCGCGGCCUAUCAGCUUGUUGGUGAGGUAGUGGCUCACCAAGGCGACGACGGGUAGCCGGCCUGAGAGGGCGAGCGGCCACACUGGGACUGAGACACGGCCCAGACGCCUACGGGAGGCAGCAGUGGGGAAUAUUGCGCAAUGGGCGAAAGCCUGACGCAGCAACGCCGCGUGCGGGAUGAAGGCCUUCGGGUUGUAAACCGCUUUCAGCAGGGAAGAAGCCGCAAGGUGACGGUACCUGCAGAAGAAGCACCGGCUAACUACGUGCCAGCCGCCGCAGUAA
rnacentral:rRNA from 1 species